CCUGGCUCAGGACGAACGCUGGCGGCGUGCCUAAUACAUGCAAGUCGAGCGGAGUUGAUGAGGUGCUUGCACCUCUGAUACUUAGCGGCGGACGGGUGAGUAACACGUGGGUAACCUGCCUGUAAGACUGGGAUAACAUCUCGGAAACGAAUGCUAAUACCGGAUACGCGAUUUGGUCGCAUGACCGAAUCGGGAAAGAUGGAGCAAUCUAUCACUUACAGAUGGACCCGCGGCGCAUUAGCUAGUUGGUGAGGUAACGGCUCACCAAGGCGACGAUGCGUAGCCGACCUGAGAGGGUGAUCGGCCACACUGGGACUGAGACACGGCCCAGACUCCUACGGGAGGCAGCAGUAGGGAAUCUUCCGCAAUGGACGAAAGUCUGACGGAGCAACGCCGCGUGAGUGAUGAAGGUUUUCGGAUCGUAAAGCUCUGUUGCCAGGGAAGAAUGCUUGGGAGAGUAACUGCUCUCAAGGUGACGGUACCUGAGAAGAAAGCCCCGGCUAACUACGUGCCAGCAGCCGCGGUAAUACGUAGGGGGCAAGCGUUGUCCGGAAUUAUUGGGCGUAAAGCGCGCGCAGGCGGCCUUGUAAGUCUGUUGUUUAAACUUGGGGCUCAACCCCAAGUCGCAAGGGAAACUGCAAAGCUUGAGUACAGAAGA
rnacentral:rRNA from 1 species